rnacentral:rRNA from 2 species
UGGUGGGGUAAAGGCCUACCAAGGCGACGAUCCAUAGCUGGUCUGAGAGGAUGAUCAGCCACACUGGGACUGAGACACGGCCCAGACUCCUACGGGAGGCAGCAGUGGGGAAUAUUGGACAAUGGGCGCAAGCCUGAUCCAGCCAUGCCGCGUGAGUGAUGAAGGCCCUAGGGUUGUAAAGCUCUUUCAGCGAGGAGGAUAAUGACGUUACUCGCAGAAGAAGCCCCGGCUAACUUCGUGCCAGCAGCCGCGGUAAUACGAAGGGGGCUAGCGUUGUUCGGAAUCACUGGGCGUAAAGCGCACGUAGGCGGACUUUUAAGUCAGGGGUGAAAUCCCGGGGCUCAACCCCGGAACUGCCUUUGAUACUGGAAGUCUUGAGUCCGAGAGAGGUGAGUGGAACUCCGAGUGUAGAGGUGAAAUUCGUAGAUAUUCGGAAG